rnacentral:lncRNA from 11 species
AGAUAGAUAGGUAGAUAUAUUAUUUUAUUUUAUUUUUAUUAUUUUGCAAGCGUUGAAAACUGGGGUUUUGUAAAACGGGACAGAUAAAAACGAGCAGGAACAUAAUGUUUGACAGAAGGAUCCAAGAUGAUAAAAUGCCUUCUCCAAACGGGGGCGGACGGCCUGUGUGUAUAUGAGAAAAGGAGAAGGGAGGCGUGAUUCAGAUGCCACGGGUCUGGCGAGAUUCGUGUGGCCAAGGACUUCAUUCCCUUCGAAACCACGGACGAUCAUGACAACAACAACAACAAUCCCCAGG